AUUGAACGCUGGCGGCAGGCCUAACACAUGCAAGUCGAGCGGAUGAAGGGAGCUUGCUCCUGGAUUCAGCGGCGGACGGGUGAGUAAUGCCUAGGAAUCUGCCUGGUAGUGGGGGAUAACGUCCGGAAACGGGCGCUAAUACCGCAUACGUCCUGAGGGAGAAAGUGGGGGAUCUUCGGACCUCACGCUAUCAGAUGAGCCUAGGUCGGAUUAGCUAGUUGGUGGGGUAAAGGCCUACCAAGGCGACGAUCCGUAACUGGUCUGAGAGGAUGAUCAGGCACACUGGAACUGAGACACGGUCCAGACUCCUACGGGAGGCAGCAGUGGGGAAUAUUGGACGAUGGGCGAAAGCCUGAUCCAGCCAUGCCGCGUGUGUGAAGAAGGUCUUCGGAUUGUAAAGCACUUUAAGUUGGGAGGAAGGGCAGUAAGUUAAUACCUUGCUGUUUUGACGUUACCAACAGAAUAAGCACCGGCUAACUUCGUG
rnacentral:rRNA from 1 species